GAACGCUGGAGCGUUGGAGGCGAGCUGCAUGACGUGGGCGAAGUUCUUGUUUUAGCGCACCGGGCCAGCACCAUUGCCCCGAACUACAUCGAGAACAAGCUGAAUGCCAUCUGCGUGGUCGAGUUGGCGCCAAAGAUGCUCUGGAACAAAGGUGACCCCAAGACCGUCAACCCCACCUGGAACACCAUGUACCGCAUGAAGGUGACGGACAUUCACGCCGUGCUCCAAGUGACCGUGCUCACGGAUGUCAAGAAGCAGGAGUUCCUCGGCACCGUGGCCUUCCCACUGAUA
rnacentral:lncRNA from 1 species